CAGUCGCCGCGGUAAUACGGAGGGCGCGGGCGUUACCCGGAUUUACUGGGCGUAAAGGGCGUGUAGGCGGCCUGGGGCGUCCCAUGUGAAAGGCCACGGCUCAACCGUGGAGGAGCGUGGGAUACGCUCAGGCUAGAGGGUGGGAGAGGGUGGUGGAAUUCCCGGAGUAGCGGUGAAAUGCGCAGAUACCGGGAGGAACGCCGAUGGCGAAGGCAGCCACCUGGUCCACUUCUGACGCUGAGGCGCGAAAGCGUGGGGAGCAAACCGGAUUAGAUACCCCCGUAGUCCCUGUCUCUUAUAC
rnacentral:rRNA from 1 species